rnacentral:rRNA from 1 species
UACGUAGGGGGCGAGCGUUGUCCGGAAUCAUUGGGCGUAAAGAGCUCGUAGGCGGUUCAGCAAGUCAGGUGUGAAAGCUCCGAGCUCAACUCGGAGAGGCCACCUGAUACUGCCGUGACUAGAAUCCAGUAGGGGAGAGUGGAACUCCUGGUGUAGCGGUGAAAUGCGCAGAUAUCAGGAAGAACACCAGCGGCGAAGGCGGCACUCUGGGCUGGAAUUGACGCUGAGGAGCGAAAGUGUGGGUAGCAAACAGG